GUGAGGAAUAUUGCGCAAUGGAGGCAACUCUGACGCAGCCAUGCCGCGUGCAGGAAGAAGGCGCUACGCGUUGUAAACUGCUUUUGAAUGGGAAGAAACGUAGCUUUGCGAAGCUAUUUGACGGUACUAUUAGAAUAAGCACCGGCUAACUCCGUGCCAGCAGCCGCGGUAAUACGGAGGGUGCAAGCGUUAUCCGGAUUUAUUGGGUUUAAAGGGUGCGUAGGCGGCUUUAUAAGUCUGGGGUUAAAGGCGGCAGCUUAACUGUACGCAUGCCCUGGAAACUGUGAAGCUUGAGUGACUUGGAGGUAGCUAGAAUUCCCUGUGUAGCGGUGAAAUGCAUAGAUACGGGGAGGAAUACCGAUUGCGAAGGCAUGUUACUACGAGUAAACUGACGCUGAUGCACGAAAGCGUGGGGAUCAAACAGGAUUAGAAACCCGAGUAGUCC
rnacentral:rRNA from 1 species